rnacentral:rRNA from 1 species
GAUGAACGCUGGCGGCGUGCCUAAUACAUGCAAGUCGAGCGAACGGACGAGAAGCUUGCUUCUCUGAUGUUAGCGGCGGACGGGUGAGUAACACGUGGAUAACCUACCUAUAAGACUGGGAUAACUUCGGGAAACCGGAGCUAAUACCGGAUAAUAUUUUGAACCGCAUGGUUCAAAAGUGAAAGACGGUCUUGCUGUCACUUAUAGAUGGAUCCGCGCUGCAUUAGCUAGUUGGUAAGGUAACGGCUUACCAAGGCAACGAUGCAUAGCCGACCUGAGAGGGUGAUCGGCCACACUGGAACUGAGACACGGUCCAGACUCCUACGGGAGGCAGCAGUAGGGAAUCUUCCGCAAUGGGCGAAAGCCUGACGGAGCAACGCCGCGUGAGUGAUGAAGGUCUUCGGAUCGUAAAACUCUGUUAUUAGGGAAGAACACAUGUGUAAGUAACUGUGCACAUCUUGACGGUACCUAAUCAGAAAGCCACGGCUAACUACGUGCCAGCAGCCGCGGUAAUACGUAGGUGGCAAGCGUUAUCCGGAAUUAUUGGGCGUAAAGCGCGCGUAGGCGGUUUUUUAAGUCUGAUGUGAAAGCCCACGGCUCAACCGUGGAGGGUCAUUGGAAACUGGAAAACUUGAGUGCAGAAGAGGAAAGUGGAAUUCCAUGUGUAGCGGUGAAAUGCGCAGAGAUAUGGAGGAACACCAGUGGCGAAGGCGACUUUCUGGUCUGUAACUGACGCUGAUGUGCGAAAGCGUGGGGAUCAAACAGGAUUAGAUACCCUGGUAGUCCACGCCGUAAACGAUGAGUGCUAAGUGUUAGGGGGUUUCCGCCCCUUAGUGCUGCAGCUAACGCAUUAAGCACUCCGCCUGGGGAGUACGACCGCAAGGUUGAAACUCAAAGGAAUUGACGGGGACCCGCACAAGCGGUGGAGCAUGUGGUUUAAUUCGAAGCAACGCGAAGAACCUUACCAAAUCUUGACAUCCUUUGACAACUCUAGAGAUAGAGCCUUCCCCUUCGGGGGACAAAGUGACAGGUGGUGCAUGGUUGUCGUCAGCUCGUGUCGUGAGAUGUUGGGUUAAGUCCCGCAACGAGCGCAACCCUUAAGCUUAGUUGCCAUCAUUAAGUUGGGCACUCUAAGUUGACUGCCGGUGACAAACCGGAGGAAGGUGGGGAUGACGUCAAAUCAUCAUGCCCCUUAUGAUUUGGGCUACACACGUGCUACAAUGGACAAUACAAAGGGCAGCGAAACCGCGAGGUCAAGCAAAUCCCAUAAAGUUGUUCUCAGUUCGGAUUGUAGUCUGCAACUCGACUACAUGAAGCUGGAAUCGCUAGUAAUCGUAGAUCAGCAUGCUACGGUGAAUACGUUCCCGGGUCU